UUAACUUAAAUUUGUAUGCAGUUGGAACAGCGCCCCUAACGGCAAACGUAGGCAAACGUUCCAACUCCAUACAAAUUUGAGUUA
rnacentral:pre_miRNA from 1 species